CUGCAACUCGCCUGCAUGAAGUCGGAAUUGCUAGUAAUCGCAGAUCAGAAUGCUGCGGUGAAUGCGUUCCCGGGUCUUGUACACACCGCCCGUCACACCAUGGAAGUUGGGGGUNCCCAAAGUCGGUUAGAAAAUAAACUGCCUAAGGCAAAACCAAUGACUGGGGUGAAGUCGUAACAAGGUACC
rnacentral:rRNA from 1 species